GACGAACCGUCCAAACGUUAUUCGGAAUCACUGGGCUUAAAGGGUGCGUAGGCGGCGCGGCAAGUUGGGUGUGAAAUCCCUCGGCUCAACCGAGGAACUGCGCUCAAUACUGCCAUGCUCGAGGGAGACAGAGGUGAGCGGAACUUAGGGUGGAGCGGUGAAAUGCGUUGAUAUCCUAAGGAACACCGGUAGCGAAAGCGGCUCACUGGGUCUUUUCUGACGCUGAGGCACGAAAGCUAGGGUAGCGAACGGG
rnacentral:rRNA from 1 species